rnacentral:rRNA from 1 species
UGGGGAAUCUUGGACAAUGGGCGAAAGCCUGAUCCAGCCAUGCCGCGUGAGUGAAGAAGGCCCUAGGGUUGUAAAGCUCUUUCGUCGGUGAAGAUAAUGACGGUAGCCGAAGAAGAAGCCCCGGCUAACUCCGUGCCAGCAGCCGCGGUAAUACGGAGGGGGCUAGCGUUGUUCGGAAUUACUGGGCGUAAAGCGCGCGUAGGCGGAUCUUUAAGUCAGGGGUGAAAUCCCGGGGCUCAACCUCGGAACUGCCCUUGAUACUGGAGAUCUUAAGUCCGGAAGAGGUUAGUGGAAUUCCCAGUGUAGAGGUGAAAUUCGUAGAUAUUGGGAAGAACACCAGUGGCGAAGGCGGCUAACUGGUCCGGUACUGACGCUGAGGUGCGAAAGCGUGGGGAGCAAACAGGAUUAGAUACCCCCGUAGUCC